CAUGCUAGAGCUUGUCUAAGCAUUUUAUUUACAUUAAAAAGUAUACUGUGGGAAUCAGUUUAGCUUGA
rnacentral:tRNA from 2 species